rnacentral:lncRNA from 1 species
UUGUGUGCAACAAUGGCAAAUCUGAUUCAUAAAAAGGGGUCAUACAUUCCAACACCGCCAUUAUCCCGAUGAAGGAGCGCCCAGCUCAUCAAGCAAUGUUCUGAUAUUAUAGAAUUUCGGUUCUGGAGAACAUCCUGAAUAUACUAUCUGCUUCUUCCAUGGAUCUGCUUCCUCGAUGGUGCCAAUAUAUAUAUGGUGAUGCAUUCAAAUAUGUCAUUAGUUGACAAGACAAUAUCUUCUCUGACGACAUAGCUAUAUAGAUAUAGAUACCCAAUCCGACACUUUGUGCACCACACAAGCAAUCCAGUCAACAGCAACCAUCCUUCCUCGAUUGGAAGUUCUUAGGCGGACAUUAUUCGAUUAAAAAGUUCACAACGAAAUGCACAGGGAAGCGAAAGAACUACACUCCCAGAUUCAUCUUGUCGUCAUGUGCUUCAUUUGCAGCUUCACUGUUUGGGGCAGCCUCCGCAUCCCCCAUCUCAACAUCUGCCAUUGAAUAGCUGCGGGUGCUAGUAGGUGCGUCUAGUAAGGGAGCAACCCCAUUGUCAGUGUUGACACUCAUCAUCAUGGGUGGAUUUUGGGCUGUCUGGUGCAUUGGUCGACGGCAUACCUUGCUCAGUGGAACAAACUCCUGUCACGCGAAAAGAAAUGCCAAAAUAAAUUAUUUGGUAUAAACAUCAUAAAACAAACUAUACUCAUUAUGCUUUCCGGUUUAUUUGACUACAUAUAGUAAGAUAACUAGCCUAGAACAAAAAAAAAAGACAGUAUUUUACACUAUUCUUCCCCACCAAUCUUACGUGAACAUUCAGAUUUCUUUCAUUCGGUCAUAAAUUUUUUUGCAGAUUGGAAAUGAAAUCACAUAGAAAUUUUGAAGUAAGUUUGGUUCCCCACAGAAACAAGGAUGGGUUUUAAUGGGUAGGGAAAGGAUCGUGGCGAGCUACUCAGUUAUAGAUGUCCAGGCACGUUAUAAAUCAUAGGGAUGAAUGUCUGAUUUGGCAGACUUGGGUCGUAGUUGUAAUAAUAACUUCCAUGGAUGAAAUCGAAAAUCCAUUUCUAUUGUGAGGCCAACAGCCCUAUAACAGAACUGAAGCUCCAGGUCCCAAGCCUCAAUUAAUUCUGAUAUCCAACCAUGGUGUAACAAUGGAACCAGAGUAAAUGCAUGAACACUCAACAGUGUAGUACAGAAGGAGAAUUACCUCAGAGUGAUCAUGAUCAUAAUAAACAAGAAACCUGCAGCGGCACCCCCUUACGUCAUGCCUGCGCCUUUGAACUUGAAGAACAUGUGCAUCAACAUAGCGGGCCUGCUCUUUGCCUUCCUGUUUAGUUCAGCACAGAAAUCAACUUGAGUAAAUGAUAACAAUACAUUAUGAGACAGCUAAAACAACUUUCCCUCACUGUGUUAUUUACACCCAGCGACCAAAAAUCCUUACUCAGACCCUCAAGCAUACUCUACUUUGAGUAUAUAAUAUAAUCUUGAAAGAGCAGCAAAGUCAUGCACAUUUCCUCUCAAUGCUCUAAUUUAUCGGCAUACCGGUAUUUGUGCGCAAUUACCAACAUGAGGAUUUAUUGGAAAAGCUUAUUUUAUGAAAGUUGGUGUAUCCACUCUAUAAAUGACAAGAGAUAGGCUACAGCCUUCAUUUUGAAAAACAAAAAAAAAACUUUCAGUGCUCAAUUUAAUAAUAAAGUAAUAAUAAAAUUUAUUGGAUAAAUUCACACCCAAUUUGAGAAUAAAAAAUAGUUUUAGUAUUCAAAAGUAUGACAUAAUAAAAUGCAUUGCUUUUAUGGUCGUUUGGUAAGUGCUGUCAACCACAAUAGUUUGAAAACUCUCAAACUGGAAUCACAACUUUUAUAAGUAUAUACAAACAAGAAAUAGAGCUGUAGUACCUUGGGUGUCAACAAGGAAAAUCAACGUCUUUGUCAUGUGCAGUUGUGCACACAGUCAAAACAGAAACCUUUAAAGACUCUUGGCAGGCAAAAUCCAAAUGACAUACCCAUCACUACUCUAUCAUAAGCCAGCAAGUAACAGAAAGAAAGCAACCGUGGAAUAAUGGUUUAACAAGCUGAAUUUUCAAGUGCAUAACAAAAGGAAAAUGGAGAAGCUGUCAGGCAUUGGAUACAUAUUGUGUGGCUAAAAUAAACUGGCCAACAUAAUGUUUCACGAAGACAUGAAUUAUCAAGUUGUGAGAUGCUAACUUGCCAAGUCAGGUGAAAAGAAGUCGUUUAAGAUGGCUACCUUAAAGCAAAGAAUGGGAUCCCCAGGCAGCACAGCGACACAUUGAAGAGAACGCAGUCUCACACCUUUACAAACAUCAAUCCAUUCAUCCUCCUCAGGUCCAAACCAAGUAAAUCGAACUAGUACUUCCUGAAAUUUCUCCGUAGAUAAAAUAAAUAAAUAAAUAAAUACAAGCACAGUUGGCAUAAUGCACACGUAUUGAACCCGCUGUGGAGACUGAUUAAACACUAGAGGAACAUGGGUAUUGAAUAUUUCUCGAAAAUGAUUGAGGCUAGUUUUCACCCUUGACUAUGAAAAGAAGCGCAAACCACUCCUAACCACAUGUAUCACUUAGGACAGGAAGGUUUGUACAACUCCGCACCUGCCCAUUGGUGUCCGUCAAACACGUUUGCCUUACGCGCUUGCUACAUGAUGCAAACUUCUUUCUGUACUAUGGCUGUGACUUCUUCCUUUUGUGUGUGUGGAUGCAACUAAGAGUCUAAAACAGGACUACUACUGCUGUUGCGAUUCUCCGUAGAUAAAUGAAAGAGAGAAAUACUUGAAUUAUGGCAAAUCAUCCAACUCAGGCAGACACAUCACGAAACAAAGUUAGAAUGAUCAGUUAGUUAAUUUGGAAAUUAACACAGCAUGGAUGUUAGUUAAUUUGCAAAUUAACACAGCAUGCUUUACAGUUUGCAUAUGUACGAGUCCGGGUCUGCAAUUUGCUCCUGGCUAUUCAUUGAAAAAGAAACUCUUAUGCAAUUAUAUUGGUAUUGAAUGUUGUUGCUAGCUUGCUGCACAUUUGUUGUAUUACAUGUGAUGUUGCUAGGUUUGCUGCACAUUUUAUCAACCAUUUCUUCGCUUGAGAAGAAAGGGUCGUUAAAACAAAAUAGUAAUGUGACGAUAUCUCUAACAAUUAACGCCCUUCUUCAUCUAGGAUGAAAUAUCAGAAGAAAAAUAAAACAGCAAUCGAGCAAUCUACUGUCUCAAAACGCAUAGAUUAAAAUAUCCAAACUGCAACCUAGCAAAUGAGCAGUACUAUUUCUCUUGCCUCUUUCAUUAAGGAUGUACAAUACAAGAACCUAGCUAGGCACUUUGUCUCAGAGAUACCCCUCCUUGUGGCUGGCUGUGCAGAAGAGGAGCAGCCAGGACUUGAUUAUGAUGACAAAGUCCUGUGGCGCUGGGAAGACCAGAAGUUAACUUAGUAAUCCAUUUUGGAGGAGACUACUGUGCGAUUGCUGUCGUCAGGGCCAUGCCAUUGAUGAUUGGAUCAUGACAUCAUGAUUAUGACAAGCAAUGCAUGGUCGGGUGGCGCAGAUUGUGUCGCACGUUGUACGUUAUUGCACAUUCACACCAUAUAAAAAAUCAAAUAUUUUUCUUAUGCUGACUAUAGAUCAUGAGAUUGGUAGAAUGGGUAAGUGGGGUUCCAUGGUGGCAAUGCAGCUGAAUGCACUUGGUACAUUUCCAAGCUGGCAUGAAAACCACCAUUGCAGUUUGAUUCGCUUCAAUUUCUACAGCUCAAGGACGAUAAUUGAAGGUGGUGAACUAACUUUUUCCUUUUUGAAACUCAGACAUGUGUACAGAGCUAUAUAAUCAUUGAAAGAAACAUUCAAUUUAUGACAAAACAGAGAAAUUGUGAAAGCAAGUUUGAUACCACCAAUUAGCUUUCCAUAUAAGCCUAAAGUACAAAUACACAAGGUUGUUAAAGUGAUUCAAAAUGUUCUAACAUCAAUACUGUCACCAACUAUAAAAAGACAAGAACCAGAAUCAUCUCUACCUUUUGUGCUAGCUAUGUUCUUGAACAAAGAAUGGCAGAAAUGAAUUUACUAACAUCAAUCCUAUUUAACAAAAAGUUCUAUGGUCAUUACCGGGUCCCUCGUUUCAAUGAACCUGUGGUCCAUAAAGGCAGCAACAUCGUACCUGUAACAACAAGAAUUGGUCAAGCAUGUAAAACUGAAAGGUUCACUCAAGUAUCCCUCCCACCUCACACAAACCCACUCACACUCACGUGGAAAAUUAAAUCACAUACACAAAAACAGACCACAUGUGACAUGAAAUGACAUGAAAGAGGAAAUGAUGAAAAUACGUAUAUAUCUUCAUACCAUGCUCCAUUUCUAGCCGACUUUGCUUCAAACUGGACAUGACCACCAUCCGAAGAAAUAUUCCCUGAUUGGUAAUGGCAGUAUCAAUAAACCAUAAUCAACAUGAUAGACUAUAUGCGUUUAGUCAGUUACAAAACUAAAAUCUUACAAACGACAAACAUGAAAAUUGUGCCAUGUGGCCUAGAGUUAUGAAUAAAAGUAAAGGGAGCACAAACCACGUGUCCUGCAAUUGCCAAACUGAGUGUCAACAGCUGAGCCAGCGCGGCGAUAAACUUUUAAGGGCCCACAAAUACAAAGAAUUACAUUCUAGGCUAUAAAGUCCCAGAACCUGCCAACGAGAACUUUAAUCGAAAAUUUUGCCGGCUGUUGUGAAUAAAAGUAAUGGGCGCAGAAACAACCACCUGUCCUGGAAUAUCCCAAAUUAAGGGGCUUCAAUGACAGAGGCAAUGGACCGGCAUAUCUUGAUGUGCCCACAAAAAAGUACAGGAUAGGCUAACUGGCCAAAAUUAACUCGAUUGCCAUUGUUUGCCUGCAGUUGUGCAUAAAUGUAAUAGGCGCACGAACCACGUGUCGCGCAAUUGCUGAACUAGGCGUCAACAGGUGAGACAGCGCGGCCACAAGCUUCAUGAGAUGCAAAACCUUGUAACAACAUGCCCUAGACACUGAGAGAGGGACCCUUGCACCCAACGGGUGAGGCUAUGCAUAACUUCUGCAGCCCGAAACCUUUACCAAAUAGACCAUCAUGUAUCAUCGUAGCAACUUAAGAUUUGUACAAUUAAGUACAUGGUAAGGAAAUAAAGAGCUUAUUAAGUUAAUAUGGGGAUGCCAGCAGCACCUGAGUAGGAUCCGGCUACUGGGUGGUGUCCCUCGGCCACUGGGGGCAGCAUCAUCUUCCUGGACUGCUGCGACUGCGCGGCCCUCCGGUUAUGGAACCAAUUCCUCACCUGCGACCACCCAACACAAAUCCACACGUAUAGAUCCUGAUUGUACUGGGCGGGGACGCGGAUCUUGGGCAACGUACGAGGAGGGAAAACCUAGUAGUACCUGAUUGUACUGGACGGGGACCCUGCCGUCGCCGGUGCGGUCCGGGGAAGCGUUGAAGUGAUCGAUGAGGCCCUGGAUGACAGGACGCUUGGGCAUGGCGUCGAGGUCAUGGAGGACCUCCUCCAUCUUGGCGACCUCCGCCUGGGUGAACCGGAACACGAGCCUUGGCGGCUGCCCCGUCAUAGUUCCCCUGGCUGCCGCACCUGCCUACGCGGUGAGAUGAGCAGAGUCGUCGGAGAUGGAGAUGGAGAUGGAGAUGGAGAGGGGUGGGAGGGAGGAGAAGCUUACGUUACCAGUUGUGUGUGUCACCAGCGGCUGUGUCCAAGCUGGAUCACGCGGCCGAUGCAAAUACUGGAGGUGGGUGUGUCCAAGCUCCUUUUGGCACUUCUACUCACACGCACGCAACCUACUUUUGCAAUUAAUGUAGUGCUAUUAAUUCCAUUAAUUCCCCCGGAUAAAAACAAAUACUGUGGGCGCCAAUUCCGGUCAGAAUUGGUGCAAGUUCCAGCUGCCAGGUGUUUUGGGGUCCAAUGUAGUACGGGUCGGGUAGGUUCAGUGUGCCAGGUUGUGUAGAGCCGAGUCACUAGGUUGCUGCGGCGUAUACUUUGGCGUUGAGCUUACUUCCCUUGCAAGCGCGCGAUUCGCCAUAUUGGGAUUUACAAUUUACGUAAAGGGGUCAAAUCAUGGUCGCCCGUUUUUUUACUUAUUAUAAUUUUUUUGCGGGGAAAUCGUAGUCACCCAUGACCGCACCUAUCCCACGGGCAGUCGCAACUGGCCAGCGCCAGCGAUAUGCCGUCAUUGCGCUUAACCGCGAGCCAUGCGCAAAGACAAAUCGACCCGACCCUCCUCCACGAACCUCGCUGAUAGACGUCCCAUCCCUUCGCCAUUCUUAGCUGUAUAGUUAGUGUAGGAUUAAACCAUGUCUGAAAUAGUGAGGUCAGCCAUGAUGUCAUCAUAGGACAUGUGAUCAGCAGUGAUGUCAUCUAGGAAUUGACAUAAGCACUUAGGUCAUUUGUGUUAUAAGAGCACCACGAUUAAUACGCAGUUCAUCGGAACACCAUUUCAUCGCCGGAAAAAAUUACCAUAGUACAUAGGUGGAUCCGUUCGGUACGUCACAAUUCUUGGCGCACACUUGCCCCUAGAGCCUCCGGACCAGACGGUCAUGCUCCUUUGCAUGGCGGGCCGCCUUCACCUUAGCCGCCGCCUCUUUGUAUGCCUCAUGCUCCGACAAAUCGACGCUGAGUUGGAGCGCCUUAGCAUUCUUGCGGUCGAGGUGCCGCACAUCUAUCUCCGCCGUCGUGAGAGAGCGUCGAAGGGCCAACGCGAGGAGCACGGCCUUGGAAUCGACCGGCAUGCUGCUCGUGCCUUGGACUCGGGGGUCCUCAUGCACACCGGCGUUGAUGCGGGCACGAGGACCCAGUGGUGCCUGGCUACCACUUCCGGAGCAGAGGCGUCUAAGUCUCCGGCUAGAAGCUCCAUGGGGAGGGAGAGUCCGGCGGGAUUUGUCCUCCCGUCUUCGAAUGAAGUGGUCCGCGGAUCUGAGUCCCAGGCGGACAUGAGAGUCGACCCCUGGGCAGGAUCUGAUGGUAGAUCCGAAGAGCCUCCUUCGUGUGGGUGGGGAGCGGCGAUCGAGGCCGUGAACCCCUCGAAAAUCAACUCUCCUCAGACAUCGACGAUGUAGUUCAAACUUCCAAACCUGAUAUGGUGACCAGGGUCAUAGCUGUCGACCUACUCAAGGUGACCGGUCGAGUUGGCACGUAGCACGAAGCCGCCAAACACGAAAAGCUGACCAGGGAGAAAGGUUUCCCCGGAGACAGCGCCAUUGUCGACGAUGAGGCGAGCCAUCGAUUCUUCUGUCGACAACACAACGGUGCUCUCAAUGAAAGCACCAAUGUCGGUGCCAAAAUCGGCAGAUCUCGGGUAGGGGGUCCCAAGCUGUGUGUCUAAGGAUCGAGGGUAACAAGGGACAACAGGGACACGGUGUUUACCCAGGUUCGGGCCCCCUUAAAGUAGGUAAAACCCUACGUCCUGCUUGAUUGUAUUCGAAGAGUAUAGGGGUUACAAGAGUUGAUCCACUUCGAGAUCGUAAUGGCUAAACCCUAGCAGUCUAGCCUAUGAUUCUUCCCCUUCUACGGACCUUACCCUCUAGUUUAUGCACACACGUGAGUGGCCUAGGGUUGUAUAGAGUCGGUUUGUAGAGGAAGGAAUUAGUACGCCCGGACACCAAACUUUUCGUCCACGCAUAUAGGAGUCCUACCCCGACACGGGGGAUAAUCCUCUGCUUUGUCUUCACGACCCAUCAGUGCGACCCAUAUCGAGUAGACCGGACACCCGAGGACCCCCUAAUCCAGGACUCCCUCACCCCUUUCCACCCUUGCGGACAUUGCGGACCUUGAUUCUGGAGUUAUAUAUUAUGAUACACCGCCAAUGUAAAUACUAUCAUAUCGUUUGUCAACCAACGGUACCGGUGGAUGAGUACAACGACCUCGCAAGGGAACUAAAGCCUCUCCAUCAGGUCGUUCGAAUCUGGGAAGCUGAACAACAAGCCACAUUUUACACAGUCAAGGUGCAAUAGGGUAUCAAAUUCAUCGAAGAUUACCCCACGGAUAAAAUUAGUCCGCACUUUGCAGGGGGUUUCAAAAUGUUCAGCCUUUUCAUGAUUGAUGUAUGCUUCACAAGGCUUCGGGCACUUUAUAAUGCCAUGAAGGCUACACGUCUGAACUGUAACAUCAUUGUCAUACUUGAUCCUUAUCACACGCAGAGCAAAAAAGCAAGGAAAUCAUGAUAGGGUACCUUUGGAAUGACACACUUGCAUAUAAGGAGAAGGCAACAUACUUGUGCCCUACCGUUUCAUUUUAGUAAUUUUCUCCUUCACGCUCGCACAUAUACCGAACUUCAUGGGUUGAUACCACAUUGUUUCGUUCACUUGUUUGUGCAACGACAUCUACUUGGUCUUUAAAACAAUAGUGCAGGAACCCUUAUAUGAUUUUACUACUACCAGCGUGCAGGUAAAGCCAGACGAUGCCGCUAAAUUGGCAAAAUACCUGCCACGUGCAGAAAGAAAAGGGGCGCUACUGCUGCUUCAAGACUAGAGGCCAGCAGUAAAAUCACACACAUCUACUAUGGUACACAAAGGGAGCCUUCACGGCCUGAACUACCAGCAACGUGUAGAUAGAGGGAGAACGCUGCUAGUGCCCUAAACUUUAGCAGCGUGCGGGCUGCAGCAAAUGCCACUAACGAUAGUGCAUACCACAUUUGCAGGCCCACCUUUGUGGCUUCAAACAACUUGCAACGCAUACAGAUUAGCAUCAUGUGCACAUGUUGCGUGCUAAAGACAUGUUCCAAGUUAGCUGCUAAUAAACAAUUAUUUUAAUAUUUUAAAAUAAAAAACCAGCGAGCUGGUAUAUUUGAUUAUUUAUAUUACUUUUACCACAAACACCUAAAAGUACCCAAAAUGCAACACAAGAACCCAAAAUGUUUCUCCAAAACCAGCACUUCCCUCCUUCAAAACUACAUAUCUCCCCUGGAAAUCUUCAUUAAUUCGAUUUUAAGCAAGAUAUCACAUAACUUUCGUGUAAGACUUUGAAAUUUGAACCACAUUUUAAAUUAUCGCAUGAUGGCAGCAUGUAAAGUUGUUAUUACAAUCCUAAACCGGUAAUUCCUAGUAGGGCCUCUUUUGGUUCAUAGGAUAGGAUUAUCGUAGGAAUAGGAAUCUUGUAGGAAAUGAGAUGACAUGUAUCUCAAAUCCUAUGAGUAGGAAUAGGAAACAAGAUGUCAUUUGGUUGACACCAAAGGAAUUUUUUCAUUGAGUCUAGGCUCAUUUUUAUUUUCCUAUGAAAUGUGGAGGAUAGGAACCAAUCCUAUGUAGGAAUAGGAAUCCAUUCCUAUAAACCAAAGGGCUCUAAAGGAAAAAAUCCUAUAAGAAUCCUAUCCUCUAGAAUUCCUAUGAAAUUUCCUCCAAACCAAAGGAGGCCUGGAUGUGUGAAGCCAUGGAGGGAACACGGCUAGUGGAUGAUCUACUAGUGUGACGUGUAGGGUUCACACUGCUAAAUUUUGUAUUACUUUUACCGAAACACGUAAAGGUACAUUAAAAAAUUGGAAUAGAGGAUCCCAUCUUUGUGACCAAAAAAUUAGAACACAAGACCCACCGAAAUGGUGUGGUCGUGCCCAUUGUCCGAAGUCUCCACUCCGGCUACCAAGGGGGUCCACCUUCACCCACCUUGCACCUUGCGGUCAACCGUGAGCAGGCAUCCGUCCACCCCAGCUGCCGCACUAGCUAAACUCCGCCGCCCACCACACCCACAACUUUCAGCUUGCGCCCGCACGGAAGUGAACCCUAGUUCUGGGUUACCGAGUGCCCAGAUGUAGCAACAAGGGCACCUACUAGGUGUGCGCCAUGCCGAAGGAAGCUAUUGUCUCGUUUCAAGAGCCUAUUGGAUUAGAUGGAUCCAGCCUCCAGCGGCAGCCAGGAACCCCCUAACGACCGCCGCCAACCCAUGAGUAGUUGUGAUAACAUGACCGGUGGUAGUUGCCCGCCUCACACACAUGCCUGACGAGGGCCGUGCCGCCAUGAAGUAGGCAAUGGCUGGCCGAGAACGAGGUACUCUGUAGGGGUGAGAUCCGUACCUAGUUGUCGUGUGUGAGAGAGGGAGCACACCCGGGUAGUAGGGGGAAGAGAAGGUGGAGGAGGUGCCUCACUGCCGCCGCGGGAUGGCCGCAGGCUACCGGCGGCGAGGGACGGGAGAGCGAAGGAGAAAUUGGUUAGGAUGGCGGCGACACUUGCCAUGUGAGUCACAGGAGCUAGCCAGGAAAUGUGAGCAAAAACUUAGUUCUGAUAUACUAAACUGAAUUGCAAAUAUGAUUGUACUUCCGAUUUCUAUGUCUCUUCUUUUCUGAAAUUUGGUGGGGGAUGGUGAUGAAAAUCACCAUGUUAAAGCAAUUCAAAAUCGUCUUAUAAUAAAUUGGUUUUUCUCGUCUUUGUCCUUUCUCCAAAAAAAAUGUGUUUGUUUGCAACACUGGCAAACCUGAUUCACAAAAAGGGAUCAUACAUUCGAACGUUGCUAUUAUCCCCACGAAGGAGCGCCCAUCCCAUCUAGCAAUAUUGUGAUGUCACUGAGUUUAGGUUUUGGAUGCCAUUAUCCUGAUGAAAGGAGAGCGUUAGAUGUCCAGGUAGAGGAAGAGGACAAAGGACGAUCUAUAUAGAGAUCCCUUAUUUCACGAGAUGUAUAGACGGAUCUUGUAUUUGGAGGGCCUUCCAUGGGAUAAAAUUGCAGUUCAACUUCAAAUAUUUUUUAUUUUGAUUCUCCAAUAUUUUAUUUAAGAGAGGGUGUAGUGAAGCACAACCCACACCCCAAAAGACAAUACCACCACAAAACAAUAUCUUCUCUGACAACAUAGCUAUAAAGAUAUAGAUACCCCACACAAGCAAUCCAGUCAACAUGGGCACGUUAUAGUUAUUGGGCCACUAACCAUCCUUCCUCGAUUGGAAGUUUUUGGGCGAACAUUUUUUUCACUAAAAAGUUCACAAGGAAACGCACAGGGGAGCGAAAGAACGACACUCCCACAUUCAUCUUGUUGCCAUGUGCUUCAUUUGCAGCUUCGUCGUUUGGGGCAGCCUCUGGAUCCUCCAUCUCAACAUGUGCCAUUGAAUUGCUGCGGGUGCUAGUAGGUGCGUCUAGUAAGGGAACAACCGGCUUGUCAGACGCCUCUCCUUGAUCUGGUGGAAUGGGAACCCCACCCCUCGUCACCUUGUCAGUGUUGACAUCCAUUAUCUUGUGUGGCUUUUCGGAUAUUUGGUGCAUGUGAUCAGUUUCUGGUCGACGGCAUACCUUGCUCAGUGGAACAAACUCCUGUCACAUGAAAAGAAAUGCAAAAUUAAAUUAUUGGGUAUAAACAUCAUAGAACAAAGUAAACUCUUUACUCCGCCUUCUGUUUUAGUUAACUGCAUAGUAAGAUAACUAGCUUAGAACAAACAACAUAGUAUCUUGCACUGUUCUUCCCCAUCAAUAU